AAAGUUCGUCAAGAAAUUAGUUCCUUAAUAUUUACUAAUCUCCACUCUUUGCCUUACCUAUCUGUUGGAAAACAACAUUUACAAACUGAGUUGCUAUGAGAGAACCAAGCCCUCCACUUGACAUAGAUUGAUUGGUGUUGAAUUGGGUUAAUCAGAUGCAUUGCUUUAUAUCCUAUACAACGAUAAAAUCCACGAGACCAUAGGAAACGGUUGAAAAACAGAAGACUUAUCCUUGCAAAUAAUUGACCCAACGAAAGGCUUGUUUGUCAGAGGGAGAAAUGCAGAGCUGCCUGCAUUUCCUUCCACACUUCUUCCCUCCCUAUUUCCCCUUGCUCAUUAGUCUACUUCAUACUCUAGUUUGGUUACAACUAUGUUUAAGGAAAAUUAAAGCAAUUGUUUUGACAAUAUAAAAGUAUUUUAUUUUGUUGAACCUAUUUUAACUAAUUUGCUACUUUCUUUCAAUAGUGCUUUUGUUACAAUGAAAAGAUUGAACUCUUGACCUAGCCUAACACACACACACAUAUUUCCCCAUCCAACCUCACCACUUGGCCUAACCCAAUAGCUCACUUCAAUUACCUAGCUUAAUCCUACCCUAAUUUUCUUAGGGCAUGUUUUGAAGUGAUUCUAGAAGGGCCGGAAUCACUUGUGGGGAGAAAACGUUUUUUUCUAUAUAAUCGCCUGUGAUUUUAAGCGAUUCUUAAGAGAAACACCUCCAAAAUCAUUCCCAAACAAGCUCUUAUUUUCUUUGUGUUUUUUAAUCACCUAGCUUAAUUUUUGAAUUUCCACGACCAAAAUAUAUAUAUAUUGUAUGUCGGCCCGUGACCUAUGGUCCAAAACACGGUGGUCAGGACCUAACGCCAUAUAAAAUUCUGGGCCUUAUAUAUGGGACAUGGGCCAGAAAAGAAAAGGGUGGCGUGCGUGCGCGGGAACAAAAAGCCUAAUGAAAUUAGGGUUUCCAAGUGGAACAUGAGAGCCUAUAAAUUCAAUCGCCUCCUUCCAACACUCUUCACUUUGUGUUUUCGCAUAGAUAGUGUUAGUAGUUAGGGAUUUGAAUUUCGGCGUCGAUUAAACUGAUUACCAUCGCUCUCUGAAAAAGAAUGGGCGCUGCGUAUGAGCCGACGCCAGAGCUAUUCGGUUUCUGCGAAUCAUUGAGGGCCUUCCUAUGAUUGGUUCUCUCGCAGAUUCGGACAAAAUUUACGUCUUUAUUUUUCGAUUUUGUACUAUUGCUUCGUUUUAAGUUUGUGUUUGUGUUGAAUUUUAGGGAUUUGGGAUUGAAGUGAUGCUACUUUCCCCAUAUGAUCGAAGCUGAUUCAAACUUGCGCUAUUUUUAAUUUCCAAGCCAGAACUCUGAUCUUUCCCAAAUCCCAACAACUCAUUGUUAUCUAUUCUUCUUUUUGUUUCUUUGUCUUUUGAAAUUUCAUAUCUUUCUUCAGUUUGGGUUUUGAUAUUUGGUGUUGUUGUGUUUUGAAUGAUUUUUAUUUUUGAAAUUGGAAAAAAACCAUAGAAAGAAAAGAUGGAAGUGAUGAUUAUUUCCCCAAAUGAUCGAAACUGAACAAACUGAGCGACUUAUAUCUCUGUAUUACACAGAGACACCAAGCCAGGUGUUUCUGAUCCAUCUUCAUUCUUUAUAUCAGAUCUCACUGACUUGCUUUUGAAUUUUGAAUUUUGUUGUUUACUUAUUGCUCCUUGAGAAGCACCGAAAUCUACAUUCUCUGUUCUUCCUUUUGUUUCUUUGUCUUUUGAAAUUUCAAAUCUUUUUUCAGUUUGAUUUUUCAAAUUUUGAGUCUUGAAUGUUUUUUUAUUUUUGCAAUUGGAAAAAACCAUAGAUGGAAGUGAUGAUUAUUUCCCCAAAUGAUCGAAACUGAACAAACUGAGCGACUUAUAUCUCUGUAUUAAACAGAGACACCAAGCCAGGUGUUUCUGAUCCAUCUUUUAAUGGCUUGCUAUUUUUUAUCUUUUCUUGGCCACCACCACCAGGCCUCCACCCGCUAAGCCAGUUCCAAGUGCUUUGCUCCAUGUGCGUAGGAGCUUUGAACAAAAAAUACAAAAAAGAGCCAAGUUAAGUACACAACAAGAAAAAUCAAGUAUAAAUCUGUACCUAUAUUGAAAGAAAAUCAAGAGUUAACCUGACCGUUGAAAAAAUGAACUACGAGUCUUGUGAGAAGUGACGUUAUCUUGGACACACUCCUUGGAGGCAAUUUUAAAGAGAAUCAGUCGAUGCAUAAACCCAUAUAAGUUGGCCAAACUGACACAAAAAUGGAACUGCUAACGCCCGUGGUUGCAGUGGGUUUCUCAAACUGUAAUACAAAAUCAUGCAUAAAGAAAUUUAUAAAAUGGUAGAG